CUUCCUGGGUCAUGGCUGCCUAAAAUGCAUCCAAGCAUUCAGUGUCUCCUCCCUCUGCAUGCAGACACUGAACUUUUCUCAUAGAGAUUAAUUGAUUAAAUUCCUCUCUAUGAGGAGAUGCUGAUUGGCCAGGGCUGUGUUUGAAUAAUACUGCCUCUGCCCCUGAUCUGCCUCUUUGUCAGUCUCAGCCAAUCCUAUGGGGAAGCAUUGUGAUUGGAUCAGACUACCACUUCUGAUGAUGUCAGCAGACUGCUUGUUUUUCUGAGGCAAACAGCAUGCAGAGUAACAACUUCAGGCUCGAAUACAGUAAGAUUUUGCUAUAUUUAUGGAGGCAUGAGGGGCCCAG